CCUACGGGAGGCAGCAGUGGGGGAUAUUGCACAAUGGGGGAAACCCUGAUGCAGCGACGCCGCGUGAGUGAAGAAGUAUUUCUGUAUGUAAAGCUCUAUCAGCAGGGAAGAAAAUGACAGUACCUGACCAUGAAGCCCCGGCUAACUACGUGCCAGCAGCCGCGGUAAUACGUAGGGGGCAAGCGUUAUCCGGAUUUACUGGGUGUAAAGGGAGCGUAGUCGGUUAUGUAAGUCUGGAGUGAAAGCCCGGGGCUCAACCCCGGGACUGCUUUGGAAACUGUGUAACUGGAGUACAGGAGGGGCAGGCGGAAUUCCUGGUGUAGCGGUGAAAUGCGUAGAUAUCAGGAAGAACACCGGCGGCGAAGGCAGCCUGCUGGGCUACAACUGACGUUGAGGCACGAAAGCGUGGGGAGCAAACAGGAUUAGAUACCCGGGUAGUC
rnacentral:rRNA from 1 species